rnacentral:rRNA from 1 species
CAGUAGCCACGGUAAUACGAAGGGUGCAAGCGUUACUCGGAAUUACUGGGCGUAAAGCGUGCGUAGGUGGUGGUUUAAGUCCGUUGUGAAAGCCCUGGGCUCAACCUGGGAAUUGCAGUGGAUACUGGAUUACUAGAGUGUGGUAGAGGAUAGUGGAAUUUCCGGUGUAGCAGUGAAAUGCGUAGAGAUCGGAAGGAACAUCUGUGGCGAAGGCGACUAUCUGGGCCAACACUGACACUGAGGCACGAAAGCGUGGGGAGCAAACAGGAUUAGAUACCCCGGUAGUCCCUGUCUCUUAUAC